GACGAACGCUGGCGGCGUGCCUAAUACAUGCAAGUCGAACGCAGUGGGGACGGGUGAGUAACACGUGGGUAACCUCCCAUCAGAGGGGAUAACACUUGGAAAAAGGUGCUAAAACGAUACUGAUGGAUGGACCCGCGGGGCAUUAGCUAGUUGGUGAGGAAACGGCUCACCAAGGCCACGAUGCAGAGCCGGCCUGAGAGGAUGAUCGGCCACACUGGAACUGAUAAACGGCCCAGACGCCUACGGGAGGCAGCAGUGGGGAAUAUUGGGCAAGGGGCGAAAGUCUGACCGAGCCACGCCGCGUGAAUGAAGAAGGUUUUCGGAUCGUAAAACUCUUUUAUUGGAGAAGCGGUAUCUAACCAGAAAGCCACGGCUAACUACGUGCCAGCAGCCGCGGUAAUAC
rnacentral:rRNA from 1 species